rnacentral:rRNA from 1 species
AUGGUCCUCGCAGGCAUCAUUUGUGGAACGAUUUCACAAACCCCUGGGUUAGACACACCUACUAGAUGCAAUUACGCUUGGGUUUUCAU